rnacentral:rRNA from 1 species
UACGUAGGUGGCAAGCGUUGUCCGGAAUUAUUGGGCGUAAAGCGCGCACCGGCGGUCCUUUAAGUCUGAUGUGAAAGCCCACGGCUCAACCGUGGAAGGUCAUUGGAAACUGGAGGACUUGAGUACAGAAGAGGAAAGCGGAAUUCCACGUGUAGCGGUGAAAUGCGUAGAGAUGUGGAGGAACACCAGUGGCGAAGGCGGCUUUCUGGUCUGUAACUGACGCUGAGGUGCGAAAGCGUGGGGAGCAAACAGG